rnacentral:rRNA from 1 species
CCUUAGAGUUUGAUCCUGGCUCAGAGCGAACGCUGGCGGCAGGCUUAACACAUGCAAGUCGAGCGGGCGUAGCAAUACGUCAGCGGCAGACGGGUGAGUAACGCGUGGGAACGUACCUUUUGGUUCGGAACAACACAGGGAAACUUGUGCUAAUACCGGAUAACCCCUUACGGGGAAAGAUUUAUCGCCGAAAGAUCGGCCCGCGUCUGAUUAGCUAGUUGGUGAGGUAACGGCUCACCAAGGCGACGAUCAGUAGCUGGUCUGAGAGGAUGAUCAGCCACAUUGGGACUGAGACACGGCCCAAACUCCUACGGGAGGCAGCAGUGGGGAAUAUUGGACAAUGGGGGCAACCCUGAUCCAGCCAUGCCGCGUGAGUGAUGAAGGCCCUAGGGUUGUAAAGCUCUUUUGUGCGGGAAGAUAAUGACGGUACCGCAAGAAUAAGCCCCGGCUAACUUCGUGCCAGCAGCCGCGGUAAUACGAAGGGGGCUAGCGUUGCUCGGAAUCACUGGGCGUAAAGGGUGCGUAGGCGGAUCUUUAAGUCAGAGGUGAAAGCCUGGAGCUCAACUCCAGAACUGCCUUUGAUACUGGGGAUCUUGAGUUCGGGAGAGGUGAGUGGAACUGCGAGUGUAGAGGUGAAAUUCGUAGAUAUUCGCAAGAACACCAGUGGCGAAGGCGGCUCACUGGCCCGAUACUGACGCUGAGGCACGAAAGCGUGGGGAGCAAACAGGAUUAGAUACCCUGGUAGUCCACGCCGUAAACGA